UAGCCGUACAUAGCUUCCUACAGAGCUGGU
rnacentral:piRNA from 1 species